rnacentral:rRNA from 1 species
UGGGGGAAUCUUGGACAAUGGGCGCAAGCCUGAUCCAGCCAUGCCGCGUGAGCGAUGAAGGCCUUAGGGUUGUAAAGCUCUUUCACCGGUGAAGAUAAUGACGGUAGCAGGUAAAGAAACCCCGGCUAACUCCGUGCCAGCAGCCGCGGUAAUACGGAGGGGGUUAGCGUUGUUCGGAAUUACUGGGCGUAAAGCGCACGUAGGCGGACCAGAAAGUUGGGGGGUGAAAUCCCGGGGGCUCAACCCCGGAACUGCCUCCAAAACUAUUGGUCUAGAGUUCGAGAGAGGUGAGUGGAAUUCCAAGUGUAGAGGUGAAAUUCGUAGAUAUUUGGAGGAACACCAGUGGCGAAGGCGGCUCACUGGCUCGAUACUGACGCUGAGGUGCGAAAAGUGUGGGGAGCAAAACAGGAUUAGAUACCCUGGUAGUCCACACCGUAAAACGAUGAAUGCCAGUCGUCGGGUAGCAUGCUAUUCGGUGACACACCUAACGGAUUAAGCAUUCC